rnacentral:lncRNA from 1 species
UCAAAAUUGAGAUCAUCUACGUGUUUAACCAAUGCAGUUUCCCAACAAUAUCUUCUCAAAAGAAAGUACCACAUAAUCUAUAUCCCCCUCAAGCGAUAAUAUGUUUCCCUUCAAUCAAGAAGGUCGUAUACUCUUUCGAAAUCCUGUAGAGCCCAGAUUCUCGGAGAGACUCCACUCCACCACCUCGAGAGUUCAUCAUCAAGUAAUCUCCCGUCAUUGCGACUUGCCCACAGUUUUGUUUGGUCUGAAUAUAGAAUGGAACUUAUCUUACCUAUCGAGAUUGAGUGUUAAAACCUAUUUUUUCAAUUAAUUGUCUAUGUUAUUAAAUAAAGUUCAUAUGAGUCGAAUCGUAUUUGUAAAUCUUGAAUUAUAGCAUUUAAGAUGUUUAAAAUAGUAGAUAUUAGUUCAUAUAUUUUAAGCAAAUGGAAUGAGUCAUCUUGAUCUUCUAAUCAAG